rnacentral:lncRNA from 1 species
UUAAAACUUGCUGCACCUACCUUUUGUGUGAAAGAUUAAACACAUUGUGUUAUCUCUUCAUCUGCAUAGAAUCUCCAGGACAGUCGCUAGUGGUUUUUCAAAUCACUGCAUCUUUGUUUCAACACCACAUUCUUCGCCCACUACUCGCCACUUAGUCACCUUAUCAUUUGUCUAGCUAUAUCUAUAUGAAUCCGAUCCGUCCCAACUACAAUAUAUUAAUAUUUUUCGACCUUUUAUUAAAAAACACAAGGAUCAACUUGUUAUCGAGUUUGUGCGUCAACAACAUUUUGCGAGCUUCCUUAUCGAGUUUCUUCACGUCCCACCUCUUGUAUGAUCAAGUUGGGUCGCUUGUGAAAGGAUGCUUAAACACAGUGUUCAAGUUCGAGAGAAAAGAGCUAAAAAGUCACUAUUUUAACAAAAUGGGUCUUAAUGUCAUUUUAUGAAAGAAUAGCCCCAACAGUAAUUUCAAAAACAAAUUUGUAAAGUUGCGGUUUAAAUUUUGUGAGGAAAACUCGUGUUUUCAGCUGAAAACCACGAUUGCAAGGUGCGUUUUCAGUCGAAAUCACAAUUUAAAGUUGCGUCUUUGUUCACCAUUGUAAACACGAACCGAAUUUGCAUUUUGAAGUGACAUUUUGAACUAUUUUUUCAGAAAGUGACAAUAAAAACCUUUUUUUAAUUAAAUAAUGACAUUUCAAGGCAACACUCGAGUUUGGCUCAUUCAUUAACCAAGUCAGAGUUUAAACUGAUCCUUUUUCUGAGUUGAAGACCGAAUUGUUUAUGAGUGUCUCUCGACUCAUUUACGACCCGAUUUUCUGCCCCAAUAAUCAAAAUAUCUUAACAAUUAUGAAAUUUCCAGAAGGGCUAGAUGAUCUAAACAUUUUGAUGCUUCGAAUCAUUGGUAGGGAAAUUCUUGGGCAAAUAGCAGACAUUUUAUUUAUCAGAAACGAAUAAAAUAUUUGAUAUUGAUUUUAAACGAUACAAUUAUUUCUUGUUUUCCAUUUUGAUGUUUGAUCAUAAACUCAUAGAACUAUCAAUUUACCUGUAAAAUUCAACAUGCUGCUAAAUGGAAGUGCGAUCGAAUAUUAUACAGUUUUUUAAUAUGAGUAUGCCUUUUCUGGUGAUCAAGAACUAGAUUCCCAGAUUCGUAUUUUAUGUCAAUAUUCAUCUUCCAAUAAACUGAAAUUAUAUUAUAAUGACCAAGUGCAAUUGAUAACAGUAUGUUUCCACUCUUUAGUCCAUCUGCUGAUGCUAAUUUUAGAAUCUGAAAUCCUUAAUCUGUAUGAACAGGAAUCCGCAUAAACGCACGCACUAAUGGAGUAAUUACAAG